UUAUAUGAUCAAGAAAAAUAAGCGCAAAUAGUGGAUGCCUAGGCAGUAAGAGGCGAUGAAGGACGUGGCAUUCUGCGAAAAUCUUUGGUAAGCUGAAAGCAGGCGAAAGAACCAAAGGUAUCCGAAUGGGGAAACCUAACCAAUUUAUUGGUUAUUUAAACUUGAAUAAAAUAGAGUUUAAAAGCGAACCUAGAGAAUUGAAACAUCUUAGUAUCUAGAGGAAAAGAAAUCAAAAUUGAGAUUUCCUAAGUAGUGGCGAGCGAAAAGGAAGAAGCCAAUGUAAGUUACGUAUUUAAUGAGUUAUAGAAUAACUUGGAAAAGUUAACCGUAGAAGGUGAAAGUCCUGUAUAUAGUAUUUAUACGGAGACUAAGUACAUUAAUAAGUAGACCGGGACACGAGAAAUCUUGGUUGAAGAUAGGUGGACCAUCAUCUAAGGCUAAAUACUACUUACUGACCGAUAGUGAACAAGUACCGUGAGGGAAAGGUGAAAAGAACCCCGGAGAGGGGAGUGAAAUAGAAACUGAAACUGUUUGCGUACAAGCAGUGGGAGCUAAAAUGAUAUAUUUAUAAUUUAUUUAUAGGUAUGUUUUUAUUAGUGACUGCGUACCUUUUGUAUAAUGGGUCAGCGAGUUAUUUUUAGUGGCGAGGUUAACUUUGUUAGAAGGGAGCCGUAGAGAAAUCGAGUCUUAAUAGGGCGUUUGUAUUUUUUUAUUUGUAUAGUCGCUAGAAAUAGACCCGAAACCGGGCGAUCUAGCCAUGUCCAGGAUGAAGAUUAGUUAACACUAAUUGGAGGUCCGAACCGGGUAAUGUUGAAAAAUUAUCGGAUGAGGUGUGGCUAGGAGUGAAAGGCUAAACAAGCUCGGAGAUAGCUGGUUCUCCCCGAAAGCUAUUUAGGUAGCGUCUUGUGAGAUUAAUUAUCUGGGGUAGAGCACUGUUUCGGCUAGGGGGUCUUAAAUGAUCUACUAAACCGAUGCAAACUACGAAUACGGAUUAAUUGUAUCAUGGGAAACACACAUCGGGUGAUAACGUCCGUUGUGGAAAGGGAAACAACCCAGAUCGUCAGCUAAGGUCCCUAAGUAAUAAUUAAGUGAUAAAACGAAGUGAGAAGGCAUAGAUAUCCAGGAGGUUGGCUUAGAAGCAGCCAUCCUUUAAAGAAAGCGUAAUAGCUCACUGGUUGAGUCAUCUUGCACGGAAGAUUUAACGGGGCUAAAUUAUUCACCGAAGCUACGAUACUUAUAUAUGUUUUUUAUAUAUUUUUUUAUGUAUAAAAAGAUCCUAUAUGAGUAGGUAGGGGAGCAUUCUGUAGGCCGUAGAAGGUUUAUUGUGAAGUAAACUGGAGGUAUCAGAAGAGCGAAUGCUGACAUGAGUAACGAUAAAGGGGGUGAAAAACCUCCUCGCCGAAAGUCUAAGGUUUCCUGCCCUACGUUAAUCGGGGCAGGGUUAGUCGAUAUCCUAAGGUAAGGUCGAAAGACGUAGCCGAUGGACAUUAGGUUAAUAUUCCUGAACUUUUUAUAAGUGGUGAUUUGUAGGGACGAAAAAGGCUAGGCAAGCCGGUUAUUGGAUUUCUGGUAGAGGCAUAUAGACGAGGAACGAGGAAAAUCCCGUUCCAUAUAUACAAAAGUAUAUACGUUAAGGUGCUGAAGGAUUUGACCGCAUAGGUGUGAAGAAGUUGUUGAAGCCAUUUUCCAAGAAAAUCUACUAACCUUAACUUAUAAAAAUACGUACCGCAAACCGACACAGGUAGAUGGGUAGAGAAUACUAAGGCGCUUGAUAGAACUUGGGUGAAGGAACUAGGCAAAAUAAUACCGUAACUUCGGGAGAAGGUAUGCCAUUUUUAGUGGGAUUAUAAUAUCAAUUAUAAUUGAGCUUAAUUUGGCCGCAGAGAAUAGGUGGCUGCGACUGUUUAUUAAAAACACAGCACUCUGCAAAUUCGUAAGAAGAAGUAUAGGGUGUGACGCCUGCCCGGUGCCGGAAGGUUAACUGAUAUUGUUAAAAAUCAAUUUAUGAUUUUGAAGCAAUAGAUUGAAGCCUCGGUAAACGGCGGCCGUAACUAUAACGGUCCUAAGGUAGCGAAAUUCCUUGUCGGGUAAGUUCCGACCUGCACGAAUGGCGUAACGAUGGCCACACUGUCUCCACCCAAGAAUCAGUGAAAUUGAAAUUGCUGUGAAGAUGCAGUAUACCCGCGGCUAGACGGAAAGACCCCGUGAACCUUUACUAUAGCUUUAUAUUGAAUUUUGAUAAUGAUUGUGUAGGAUAGGUGGGAGGUUAUGAAGUAUGGACGCCAGUUUAUAUGGAACCGACCUUGAAAUACCACCCUGUUAUUAUUGGAAUUCUAACUUCAAGCUUUGAUCAAGCUUAAGGACAAUGUAUGGUGGGUAGUUUGACUGGGGCGGUCUCCUCCUAAAGAGUAACGGAGGAGCGCAAAGGUACCCUCGGUACGGUCGGACAUCGUACUAAGAGCGCAAAGGCAAAAGGGUGCUUAACUGCGAGACUGACAGGUCAAGCAGGUACGAAAGUAGGUCUUAGUGAUCCGGUGGUUCUGUAUGGAAGGGCCAUCGCUCAACGAAUAAAAGGUACUCCGGGGAUAACAGGCUAAUACCGCCCAAGAGUUCAUAUCGACGGCGGUGUUUGGCACCUCGAUGUCGGCUCAUCACAUCCUGGGGCUGAAGCAGGUCCCAAGGGUAUGGCUGUUCGCCAUUUAAAGUGGUACGCGAGCUGGGUUUAGAACGUCGUGAGACAGUUCGGUCCCUAUCUGCCGUGGGCGUAGGAAAAUUGAGAGGAGCUGCUCCUAGUACGAGAGGAUCGGAGUGGACAAACCUAUGGUGUUCCGGUUGUAACGCCAGUUGCAUAGCCGGGUAGCUAUGUUUGGAAAGGAUAACCGCUGAAAGCAUCUAAGUGGGAAGCCUGCCUCAAGAUGAGUUUUCCCUUGAAGCCCGUUGAAGACUACAACGUUGAUAGGCGAGGUGUGUAAGCUCAGUAAUGAGUGUAGCUAACUCGUACUAAUAGGCUGAUUGUCUUGAUCAUAUAA
rnacentral:rRNA from 1 species